GGCUGUGGAACUAGAAGUGGACUGAGGUCACCAUAGCAACUGAGCAUCACACAAACGUUCUGUGAACCCUUCCUAUGAGUCUGGCUGUCACAGGAGCAUCCAUCAGAGAGCAGGAUCAAUGCAAUUACUAUUGAAGGGUCUCCAGGCUCUGAAGAGGGCAGGGGUCGUAUUUCAGAGAAAAGCAAAUGUUUCCCAAACCAGAAACACAAAAAAAUAAGAAACAUUGGCCAAUGGAGAUUAACAGUUAUGAAAUAACUCCUAGAGAAGGAAGCAAAUUAAAACCCUUGCUUAAAGAUGGAAAUCAGACAUCCAAGGAAAGGCAAUUCCUUUCUGAAAUGCAUAAAAUGAGCAGACCUCUCCAGUGACUUCACCCAUCUCAAAACAAGCAUCUGAGAAGAGUCAGAAGAAACAUCUUCUACAAGUUCCCAUUGAUUUCUAGUCACUGAACCUGAAAUCCAUGUGUUCACUUCAGGCUUUCAUACAUAGCUUUUGAAUACCCAAAGCCAAGUGAGAUGCCUCCUCCCCACUCUUUAACACAUCCUGUGAUUUCCCUUUCAUUACACUGUACCCACAGGUGCUUCAUAGGACAAACUUUUCAAAAGUAUAAUUUGAAGUUAUUGCUGCAGCUUGUAAAAAUGAUUUAUGCUCAUAUAAAAAUUUGCUGUAUUAGGAACAAUUCUGCUAUUAAUAAAUAUUACUGUUGGUA